AAUGCUGAUGCCAGGACCUUGUCCUGCCAGGAAGCCUCUGAUUAGGGCCCUGAACCAACUUCCUUUUCACAACUGCAAGGACACUUGGAGGCAACCACCCAAGGCCGCUCUGAGAAGGGUUGAAUGUUCUUUAUUAAAAGGACUGAGGAUCAUGUGUGUUGGUGGGUCUUGGACUCUGCUCUAAGACACAUGGAGGCAACCACUCAAGGCCACUCUGAGGAGGGUUGAACGUGCUUUAUUAAAAGGACUGAGGAUCAUGUGUGUUGGUGUGUCCUGGACUCUGCUCUAAGACAUAUGGAGGCAACCACUCAAGGCCACUCUGAGGAGGGUUGAACGUGCUUUAUUAAAAGGACUGAGGAUCAUGUGUGUUGAUGUGUCCUGGACUCUGCUUUAAGAGCUGCAUCGGGGCUUGGAUCAAUGCCUGAAUCCAGUGUUCCUGAGUGCACAGCAUCUUUGCUCUGGGUGAGCUUUGACCAUCCUGGGGAAGAAGGCUGCUGCAGGGGUGGGACAAAGCCAAGACCAAUGCCCAGCAGCCAAGGCCAGCCAGAUGGCUCUGUGCUGGCAGCCAGCGUACACGGAUUUUACCUGAAGGAAAAUGUCACGUUUUCCACAGACAACUGAAGAAGAAGAGCUCUUUGGAUUACCCUAAUCGUGAUUUACUCAUUGGAACCACUGUCUUGGAUUGUCCAAAAUUAAGUCUCAAAGCUUAAAUAUGAGGCUUCAAGGAGUUAUCCUGAAAUCAGUGCUUGAUAUCGUCUUGUUUUUUGCUUGUUUUUUAAAACCUUAAUUCUCAUAGUUUUCUGUCAUAUUUCUCAGUGCCUGGUACAUUGUCACCAUUAAUCCAUGCCAGUUAUGUAUAGUUUUGCAUGUUUGUUUUUUAUUUUACUCUUUUCUCUCCUUCGUUCCCUAUUCCUGUUCUCCCAUAGGUGCCCAGUCUAAUGUAUUUGAUAUCUGUCCUUAGAGCCUCCGUAUCUGUGAAGACUAGAGUCACGCACCUCAUCACAUUUCAGUAAGAUGGGCCACAUGUACCACAGUCCCAUAAGAUGAUAGAGGUGCAGAAAAAUUCCUGUCACCUAGUGACGUCGUAGCCAUCAUAACAUCACAACACAUGACUCUCAUUUGUGGUGACCCUGGUGUAAACAAACCUACUGUACUGCCAGUUGUAUAAAAGUCUAGCACAUCCAGUUAUGCACAGUACAUACUUGGAAAUGAUAAUAAAUGACCAUGUUACUGGUUUAUGUAAUUACUAUAUUAUACUUUUUAUCAUUAUUUUAGAGUGUACAACUUAAAAAAAAAAAAGUUAACUGUAAAACAGCCUCAGGCAGGCCCUUCAGUAGGAAUUCCAGAAGAAGGCACUGUUGUCCUAGGAGAUGACAGCUCCGUGUGUGUUACUGCCCCUGAUGAACCUCUAUGGGUACAGGAUGUGGAGCUGGACCACAGUGAUAUUGAAGAUCUCAACCCUGUAGGUCUAGGUUAAUGUGUGGCUGUGUCUUGGUUUUUAGCAAAAAUGUUUUAAAAGUAAAAAUGUUAAAAAUAGCAAACAGUUUAUAGAAUAAGGAUAUAAAGAAAAUAUUUUGUACAGCUGUAUAAUGUGUUUUUUGUUGUUGUUUUUCUUUUUUUUUUUUUUUUUGAGACAGAGUCUCGCUCUGUCGCCCAGCUGGAGUGCAGUGGUGUGAUCUCGGCUCACUGCAACCUCUGCCUUCUGGGUUCAAGCGACUCUUCUGCUUCAGCCUCCUGAGUGGCUGGGACUACUGGCAUGUGCCACCACACCUGGCUAAUUUUUGUAUUUUUCGUGGAGACAGGGUUUCACCAUCUUGGCCAGGCUGGUCUUGAACUCCUGACCUCGUGAUCCAACCCAUCCAUUUUGGCCUCCCAAAAUGGUGGGGUUACAGGCAUGAACCACAGUGCCUGGCCUGUUUGUGUUUUAAGCUAAGUGUUAUUAGGAGUCAAAAAGUUAAAAAAUAAAAGUUGCUGAAGUAAAGUUACAGUCAGCAAAAGCUAAUUUACUAGUGAAGAAAGAAAUGUAUGUUUUGAUCAAUUUAGUGUAGCCUAAGUGUCCAGUGUUUAUAGUCUACAGGAGUGUACAGGAACGUCCUAGGUCUUCACAUCCUCUCACCACUCACUCAUUGACUCACUCACCCAGAGAAGCUUCCAGACCUGCAAGCUCCAUUCAUGGUAAGUUCCCUGUACAGGUGUUACAGUACUUAAACUCUUAUAUCCUAUUUUUACUGUAGGUUGUCUCUGUCUAGAUAUAUUUGGAUACACAAAUACUUAUCAAUGUGUUACAGUUGCCUGUAGCACUCAGUACAGUAACAUGCUGCACAGCUUUGUAACCUAGAAGCAACAGGCUACACCAUAUAGCCUCUGUGUAGCAGGCUGUGCCAUCUGGGUUUGUGUUCUACAACGUUGCAUUCUACAAUGUUCCCACAAGGAUGAAAUCACCUAAGGACACAUUUCUCAGAAUGCUUCCUCGUUGUCAAGCAAUGCAUGACUGUAUAUAGAAUUGUUCAUAAAUACUGUGUUUUUCAUCCAUGUAAAUGGCGUGCCAUUUCUACCUAUCCACGUCUGCUCACCAGCUCAUGCCCUUCGUUCAUGCUCCUUUCCAUCCAUCCAUUCCCCUAAACAUGGGCAUGUUGCUAUCAGCAGGGAGCUGUGAUGGACCCCUCACAAGGUCCUCUUAUUCCUCGUGUAAGCCUUUCCCUGGGAAUGUCCUCCCAGCAUUGCUGGUCAGGGAGAACACACACUCACAUCUUCCCUAAAUGCUACCAGUGCUAUGGUGUUAUCAGGAACUUUAUUUAUUUUUUGCCAAUAUGAUACCUAUCAAGCUACCCCAUCUCUACUAAAAAUACAAAAUUAGGCCUUUAGUAGAAACUCCGUCUCUAGUAAAAAUACAAAAAUUAGCUGCACAUGGUGCCGCGCACCUGUAAUACCAGCUACUUGGUGGCUGAGGCAGGAGAAUUGCUUGAACCCAAGAGGCAGAAGCUGCAGUGAGCCAAGAUCGCACCACUGCACUCUAGCCUGGGCAACAGAGAACCUGUCUUACAAACAAAAACAAAAAAAACGGCACAGGUCUGAUUAUUAGGAAGCUGAGGUCCUUUUUUAUACUUAGUAUUCACUGAAGAGUGAAUUACCCUUUCAUGUCCUCUAAACAUACCAACAAGAAGGCUGGAGUUAGAACUUAUGUUAGAGCCAGCCUGCCUGGGGCACAGCCUGGCCCUGCCGUUUAUUGACCGUGUGACCUUGAGCAAGCUUCCUCAUGUAACUCUAUCUUAGCUUCCCUGCCUGUAAUAGGUAAAAACAGCAACUACCUCAUAGAUUUGUAAAGAUUAAAUAAAAUAAUACAUACAGUGCCUGGCAAAUGACAGUCAACGAAUGUUAUUAUUAUUUUAACUAUUGCCAUAUUAUAAAUAUAAAUAAAUAUAAAUGAUAUAAACAAAUUAUAAUAAUAGUAAUUAUUCAUUUCGUCUUGACUUGAAUGAGUUCCUUGUGUAUUUUAGACAUUUAUCCUUUGUGAAUUUGGGAUGGUAUAAAUAUCUUAGGCAAGUCUAUUAUCUGUCUACCAACUAUCUCAAAUAUCUUUUCAUUAAAUAUAAAUUCUU
rnacentral:antisense_RNA from 1 species